ACGUAGGGUGCGAGCGUUAAUCGGAAUUACUGGGCGUAAAGCGUGCGCAGGCGGUUAUUCAAGUCAGAUGUGAAAGCCCCGGGCUUAACCUGGGAAUUGCGUUUGAAACUAGAUAGCUAGAGUGUGGCAGAGGGGGGUAGAAUUCCACGUGUAGCAGUGAAAUGCGUAGAGAUGUGGAGGAAUACCGAUGGCGAAGGCAGCCCCCUGGGCUAACACUGACGCUCAUGCACGAAAGCGUGGGGAGCGAACAGGA
rnacentral:rRNA from 1 species